rnacentral:sRNA from 1 species
UCCCGGCAUGGUGGCAUAUGCCUGUAGUCCCAGCUACUAGAGAGGCUGAGCCAGGAGGAUCACUUGAGCCCAAGAGUUUAGGACCAGCCUGAGCGACAUGGUGAGACCCCAGCUCAA